AUCCAAGUAAAAAAGCUUUUCAUGAUCCUCAUAGUCAUGAGCUAGAUAAAGAGGCAGAAAGCAGGCUGCUGCAACAUGGCUGAACUGUUCACAUUGUAGCUCUUUAGCAGAUACCCAUAACCGUGUAUAUUUCUGAUUUCAGAGCAAUUGGCUCCCAGAAAAGAUCAGCCAUGUCAAUUCCAUAGUAGACAAGUAGGACCCUAUAAGUGAGG
rnacentral:misc_RNA from 1 species